rnacentral:rRNA from 1 species
UACGGGGGGGGUAAGCGUUGUUCGGAAUUACUGGGCGUAAAGGGCUCGUAGGCGGCCAACUAAGUCGGACGUGAAAUCCCUCAGCUUAACUGGGGAACUGCGUCCGAUACUGGAUGGCUUGGAUUUGGGAGAGGGAUGCGGAAUUCCCGGUGUAGAGGUGAAAUUCGUAGAUAUCGGGAGGAACACCGGUGGCGAAGGCGGCGACCUGGUUCGAUACUGACACUGAGGUGCGAAAGCGUGGGGAGCAAACAGG